AAGUCCAUGGCCCAUGUCGGCCCCUUCCUUAUUCCCAGCCCUCAGCACUCACCCCUCCAAGCCCAUUAGCCACCUCACGGAACACUGAAAGAACUAAUGGAAAGAAUCUAGUCAAGCAGUCACUCAGGCCCGUCUCAGAGUCAGAGCCCAGUAGAUGCCACCUACAGCAUUGUCUGCUCCUGUCCUUUUCCAUCAGGGACCUCAGUGGGUGGUGGGUGGAGUUGGACGCCUAGUGCCCACCCAGGUGGGUGAUGACCGGGCGAGGAGCUGGCUGGCCGGCCUAUCAGCUGGAUGACACAAGAAACUGCAUGGCUGAUGUGCAUCCAGCAAGAUUCAAGCCUAGGUGCUCAGAGGCAGGCUCAAGCCCCCGCUUGCACUGAUGCCUGAUCUAGGAAGCCUCGCUGUGCAAUUCAGCUCCUGUUCCUGCCAACCCUGCUCAGACACCCCAGCACUUCAGGAAAGCCUGGCCUUUUGCUGGAACCUGGGGCCGUUCACCCAACUUGGUCUUCGGGGAGUCCAGCCAGAGCCACCCACAUCCUUGGCAUAGGCCUCAGCCCCUCGUAUACCCCUGGGGUCCCUGUCUCCAUGGCUCCCCCUGGCCUCCCGGAAGCCAAGCCCACUUCUCACUUUGCUGCCCAAACGUAGCUUUGCCUGUCGUCAUGCACCCUUGUCACAUCAGCUUUUAUACAGGUCUGUUUCUUAAUAAAUGUGUCGAGUGGC